UACGUAGGGUGCGAGCGUUAAUCGGAAUUACUGGGCGUAAAGCGUGCGCAGGCGGUUAUGUAAGUCAGGUGUGAAAUCCCCGGGCUUAACCUGGGAACUGCAUUUGUGACUGCAUAGCUAGAGUACGGUAGAGGGGGAUGGAAUUCCGCGUGUAGCAGUGAAAUGCGUAGAUAUCGGAAGGAACACCAGUGGCGAAAGCGGCUUCCUGGUCCAGCACCGACGUUCAGGCACGAAAGCGUGGGGAGCAAACAGG
rnacentral:rRNA from 1 species